GCCCCUCCUCGACCGUAGUCUAUGUGUGCCUCUUUAACAGCUUUCGUCCCAGAGUGCACAUUAAACGAUUACUUUUCCACAAUGGCAAAACACAACAUCAGCCUUUUGAUUGCUAUAGUGCUGGCAUUGCUCUUCUUCAUCAUCACUAUGGUGUUCACUGCUCUGGCAGCGUCGGGAAUACAUCCGUUUUUGGAGUCCACCGGUAACAUCUCAGAUGAGUUUCUAACCGAGAUCACACCAGCAGGAUGGACCUUUACCAUCUGGUCGAUCAUUUACAUCUUUCUGGCUCUAGUGUUGGUCUAUGUCCUCUCUGGCAUUUUUAGGAAGAACGCAUAUGGUUACGUCUACUGCAGCCCGCCUAUUUUGCCACGUGCAUUUUUUGCAGUUUGGUGCUUGAAUCUGGCCUCGAAUACUGCAUGGUUGUUCCUGUGGGACAGAAAGUUGAUGCUUAUUGCACUGGUUUUCCUCAUCCUCAUCGCCUUGACCAACUACGCGAUGAUAAUCUUCUCCUGCCACGGUCUGCACAGCUAUGGCGCCUGGCUCAACAAGUACCACAAAGUAGACCUGUGACUUCACCGUGUGUUGGUUCAGAAUGGUGUCGCCAUAUAUACAACAUGGACAACCGUUGCAUCCAUCAUUAACCUGGCCAUCGUGCUGACUAAAGAUGCAAACAUGUACCCAACGGAUGCUGCCACCGCCGCGCUGGCUGUUUUGGCUGCAGUGUUGUUUGUGUGGUUCAUGCUGGAAAACUUUGUCCUUGACAAACACGUGAGGUACAUUAUCACCACUUACCUCGUUGUGAUCUGGGCGCUGACAGGGGUGUUCAUGAAGAAACAGGAUGCUGUAAUUUCUACUGUCAAUAGCAACUUCAUUGAUGGACUGUUGGGUGUAGCCUGUACCUUGUUUGGUGGACGCAUGUUUUUGGUCAUCUGGAGGCACAUUAAAUUUCCAUUUUAUGAAGACAUCAACGUAGACAACAUGUCUCCCAUGGAGGUCACUGAGAAGCAGAAGAAGAUAUUUAUGUAAGACUGUUGAAGGAAUAUUUUAAUGAAAAACCUUUCUGUCUCACUUAAUUGUCAGUACAUUGUGUACUCAAACUGCACUGAGUCGUAAUAGUGUGCUAAAAUUUUUCACAUAAAUAUGAAAAUAGAUGGUUAAUAUUUGUUUUU